UUUUGAAGGGAGCAUAUAGUCGCUGCUUCAUCUGUCCGUCAGUCCGUGCACAAUUUUUGUCCAGGCUAUUUCUCAUCAACUAAUGACCGGAAUUCAAUGAAACUUUAUGGGAAGCUUCACUACCAAGAGGAGAUGUGCAUAUUAUCAGCGGGUUCUGGUUGGAUGAUUUUUCACAGAGUUAUGGCCCUUUGAAAUUUUCCAUUAACUGUACAUUUAGUGCAAUUCUUGUCCGGGCUAUUUCUCAGCAACUAAUGACCGGAAUUCAAUGAAACUUUAUGGGAAGCUUAACUACCAAGAGGAGAUAUGCAUAUUAUCACCGGGUUCUGGUCGUAUAAUUUUUCACAGAGUUAUGGCCCUUUGAAAUGUUCUAUAAAAAAUGAUUGUCCCCCCAACUACUGUGCCCUCAAGACGUUUUCUUUUAUCUGAAUAUAUAGUGCAAUAUUGUGACAAAAAAAACUUUGGGGAGCAUCACCCGUCUCCGAUGUUUUCUUGUUUAAAUAGCAACAAUUUUGUAAUUAUAAUUAUAUUGUAUACACGCAAAAGGUAUUUAUGCCAAGAGAUAAACUCAGUAAGCAGAAUACGGUUUUACUUCAAGUGUAGUUACAAAAAUAUUUCAUUCAUACCAAGCGCAUUUAGAGCCUAAAUGUAUUUUAAUACAUUUCCUAGAAACAACAACCUCCUUAUUGAAAUGAGUAUCUAUCACUUAAUUUUGAUGCAUGUUUAUGUCCCCCACCACUAUAGUGGGGGACAUAUUGUUUUUGCCCUGUCUGUUGGUUUGUUUGUUUGUGUGUUUGUUUGUUUUCCCCAACUUAAACAUUUGCAAUAACUUGCAAUAUUGAAGAUAGCAACUUGAUAUUUGGCAUGCAUGUGUAUCUCGUGGAGCUGCACAUUUUGAGUGGUGAAAGUUCAAGGUCAUCCUUAAAGGUCAAAGGUCAAAUAUAUAGCUUCAAAGCGGCGCAAAAGGGGACAUAGUGUUUCUGACAAACACAUAUCUUGUUCAAUUGUUUGAAUCCUGAGUAAUGUUAGUGUUUAACUCCACUUUCCAUGAUUACAAAUUUAUACGAGUAUAAGUAAAAGUACAGUUACAGCUAAAAGUAAGAACUGACAGUGUUUUUCACUAAGCUUAUUGAGUGCAUUAUUUGAAUGAACCAGCAAAUUAUAGUUAUAUACACAUGUAGAUAGAUUUUCUUCAGGUUCUAAAUGACUUUAAUACAUUUGGAAGUAUACACACAUAAAAUGAUGUAUGAACAUGUGUGUACUGUUAAGUUUCUGACAAUAUGUUAGUUGUUAUCACCACCAUUACUGAAAGAGCAUGGCUUUCAAUUUUGAACUGUGUUGAUAUUUUUAAUAUACAUUGUUAAUAUUGCCUUCUUAUAAUUGAAAUGCCUGCAGUAUUAUAUAUGCAGUAGAAGUUGAAAUGUCUUUAACACGAUGCUCUAGUUGCAGUACCAGAAAUAGAGCAACUCCAUGUAUUUAUCAUGAAUUGAUACUAACAUGUUUUACCUAAAGAGUUGGUUGUCUGGGAAACUUGUCCACGUAUUGUGAUUAAAUGUCAUAAAUUGGUGGAUUUAAUUAUCUGGGGGCCAUUUCAUAAACGAUCGUUCGACAAUGUUAACUUACAAGAGAAUUUUGUAAUCUUAAUAAGUAGAUGAACUAGCUCGCUAUGCUUGUCAAAUAUAAACGGCGCUUGAGAUGCCAAUGUAAGUAAUUAAGUACUGAAAAUUUAUAUACAUAUGAUAUGGACUUUAGCAACUAUGCAUCUUCGAAAAAUGUAUCGUAUCGUAAAUGUGUAUUAGGAUAUUUAUUGAAACGGUCCCCAGACCUGUAAAGUUGCAUUAUAAUAAGAAUGGAAUUCAAAGAGAGAAAUUUAAAGACAAAAGUUUGUCUGUAUCAGGGCUCAAACCAGUGUCAUAUGGAUUAAAAAGCAAUUGUUAUAACAACACUGCCUGGACUGUUAUAAAAUCUGUGCGUUUGAAUCUUUAUAUAAGUAAUCCAUUGGGUGUUAAACGAUUCAACAGACGCACUUUAAACAUUCCAAAUUAUUCAAUGCUGUUGGGUUUGUAAUGCUUUAUAAUUUUAUCAGUUACAAUUGAUUAUUAUUUGUAGAAAAUAGUAUUUCCUUAAAAGUCUACUAUAUUAGUGUUAUUUCACUUCCUGAUGAAUAUGUCCCGUGAAGGUAUAAUAAUUAUAUGCAGUUUCAUGCCCCCACUGUGUUUGUUUUAAAGGUACGUUAUCUUGUUCAGAUGAGCGCUAAUUUUACUGAUAAUCAUAAAGCUUCAGUGUUUUACUUAAGCUAUUAGUAUUAAGUAAUUUCAGUUGCCAAUAGUGGCCAUUGCUUUAGACUUUGAAUUCAUUGUUUGCAUUUAUAUAUUAUACGAACUAAGAAAGAUAACUCUUGAAUCCUGUGUAGAUCAUUGAACAGUUGAAUCCUUUUGUCAGGUUUCUGUGGUCAUCACUUACCACAUACGCUGUGUUUGUGUUCUGCUUAUCUCAUAUCACAUGACUAAAAGUUUGUUGUUAAGGUGAUUGCCUGAAUCAUGUUGUGAUUUAUGUGUGUGACAAUAUACUUGGUAAAUUGUCCAAUACAUGUUAAUGUUUAUGUUGAAAUAUUUUGUACAUAUUCUUCCAUGAACUUUCAUUUAAGACAAUGGGUUACGAAGAUGUCAAGUAUUCGUACCAUACUUAUAAAACUACCAAGCAAUA